GGCUCGUUGGUCUAGGGGUAUGACUCUUGCUUUAAAAGUAGAGGUCCCGGGUUCAAAUCCCGGACGAGCCC